ACCCCAACUACCCCACUCUGCCCUGCAGGUUAGACCCCAACUACCCCACUCUGCCCUGCAGGUUAGACCCCAACUACCCCACUCUGCCCUGUAGGUUAGACCCCAACUACCCCACUCUGCCCUGCAGGUUAGACCCCAACUACCCCACUAUGCCCCUGCAGGUUAGACCCCAACUACCCCACUCUGCCCUGCAGGUUAGACCCCAACUACCCCACUCUGCCCCUGCAGGUUAGACCCCAACUACCCCACUCUGCCCCUGCAGGUUUGAACACGUUUUAAAUGCCCUACUGCGUGGCUACGAUGUUGACUUUGGUAUUUUGGCAUGUUAUUUAUCAAUCUGUUAAUAGCAAUAUUGAAAUGCUUAUAACAUUGUUAUAAUAAUCAUUUAUUGACCUAUUGCCUUUAUUGUGGAUGGCAUACAUAUAUUUACCUUUCAACAAUUUCUGUCUCUAGACUUCCAGGCUGAUUGUAGACAGUAUUUAUCAAACCAUCACGUGCAAUUAUUAAACUGAACCAGUAGCUUUUAGAGUCUUCUAACUAUAUACUGUAUCUCCUAUGAUAUAAUAUACCACCAGACUGGUGAUCCCAGUAACUGAUAAACAUACUGUAUCUCCUAUGUUAUAAUAUACCACCAGACUAGUGAUCCCAGUAACUGAGACAUACUGUAUCUCCUAUGAUGGUUAUUAUCAGUCUUGUUUUAUCUUCAUAUAUAGUUUAUAAAGUGCAUAUACAGUACCAGUCAAAAGUUUGGACACACCUACUCAUUCCAGGGUUUUUCUUUCUUUAUUUUCUUACUAUUUUCUAAUAGUGAAGACAUCAAAACUAUGAAAUAACGCAUAUGUAAUCAUGUAGUAACCAAAAAAGUGUUUAACAAAUCUAAAUAUAUUUUAGAUUUUAGAUUCUUCAAAAUAGCCACCAUUUGAUGACAGCUUUGCACACUCUUGGUAUUCUCUCAACCAGCUUCACCUGGAAUGCUUUUCCAACAGUCUUGAAGGAGUUCCCACAUAUGCUGAGCACUUGUUGGCUGCUUUUCCCUCACUCUGGUCCAAUUCAUCCCAAACCAUCUCAAUUGGGUUGAGGUCGGGUGAUUGUGGAGGCCAGAUCAUCUGAUGCAGCACCAUCACUGUCCUUCUUGGUCAAAUAGCCCUUACACAGUCUGGAGGUGUGUUGGGUCAUUGUCCUGUUGAAAAACAAAUGAUAGUCCCAUUAAGCGCAAACCAGAUGGGAUGGUGUAUUGCUGCAGAAUGCUGUGGUAGCCAUGCUGGUUAAGUGUGCCUUGAAUUCUAAAUAAAUCACAGACAGUUCAACUGUGGGAACCACACAUGUGGAGAUCAUCCGUUCACCUACUCUGCGUCUCACAAAGACAGCGGUUGGAACCAAAAAUCGAAAAUUUUCACUCAUCAGACCAAAGGACAGAUUUCCACUGGUCUAAUGUCCAUUGCUCGUGUGUCUUGGCCCAAGCAAGUCUCUUCUUCUUAUCGGUGUCAUUUAGUAUUGGUUUCUUUGUAGCAAUUUGACCAUGAGGCCAUAAGGCUCCCUAAAUUCUAUCAGCAUAUCGAAUGCGCGACACGGGCUGGUAGCAUUCUGGACCAUUGCUACUCGAACUUCCGCGAUGCAUACAAAGCCCUCCUCCGCCCUCCCUUCAGCAAAUCGGACCAUGACUCCAUUUUGUUGCUCCCAGCCUAUAGACAGAAACUAAAACAGGAAAUGCCUGUGCUCAGGUCUAUCCAAUGCUGGUCUGACCAAUCAGAUUCCACGAGCCAAGAUUGCUUCGAUCAUGUUCCGGGUAGCCUCCGACAAUAAUAUUGAUGUAUACGCUGACUCGGUGAGUGAGUUUAUUAGCAAGUGCAUCGGUGAUGUACCCACAGUGAAUAUUAAAACCUUCCCUAACCAGAAACCGUGGAUUGAUGGCAGCAUUCGUGCAAAAUUGGAAGCUCGAACCACUGCUUUUAAUCAUGGCAAGGCAACUGUAAACAUAACCGAAUACAAACAGUGUAGCUAUUCCCUCCGCAAGCCAAUCAAACAAGCGUCAGUAUAGAGACAAAGUAGAGUUGCAAUUCAACGGUUCAAACACGAGACGUAUGUGGCAGGUUCUACAGACAAUCAUGGAUUACAAAAAGAAAACCAGCCCCAUCGCAGACACAGAUGUCUUGCUCCCAUACAAACUAAACAACUUUUUUUCUCGCUUUGAGGACAAUACAGUGCCACUGACACGGCCCGCUACCAAAGACUGUGGGCUCUCCUUCACCGUGGCCAAUGUGAGUAAAACAUUUAAACGUGUUAACCCUUGCAAGGCUGCCAGCCCAGACGGCAUGCCUAGCCGCGUCCUCAGAGCAUGCGCAGACCAGCUGGCUGGUGUGUUUACGGACAUAUGCAAUCAAUCCCUAUCCCAGUCUGCUGUGCCCACAUGCUUCAAGAUGGUCACCAUUGUUCCUGUUCCCAAGAAAGCGAAGGUAACUGAGCAAAACAACUACCGCCCCGUAGCACUCACUUCUGUCAUCAUGUAGUGCUUUGAGAGUCAAGGAGUCAAGGAUCAUAUCACCUCCACCCUACCUGAUACCGUAGACCUACUCCAAUUUUCUUACUGCCCCAAUAGGUCCACAGACUGCCUAUCCCAUCUGGACAAGAGGACUACCUAUGUAAGAAUGCUGUUCAUUGACUACAGCUCAGCAUUUAACACCAUAGUACCCUCUAAACUCGUCAUUAAGCUUGAGACCCUGGGUCUCGACCCCGCCCUGUGCAACUGGGUCCUGGACUUUCUGACAGGCCGCCCCCAGGUGGUGAGGGUAGGAAACAUCUCCACCCCGCUGAUCCUCAACACUGGGGCCCCACAAGGGUGCGUUCUCAGCCCUAUCCUGUACUCCCUGUUCACCCAUGACUGCGUGGCCAUGCACACCUCCAACUCAAUCAUCAAGUUUGCAGACGACACUACAGUGGUAGGCUUGAUUACCAACAACAACGAGACGGCCAACAGGGAGGAGGUGAGGGCACUCGGAGUGUGGUGUCAGAAAAAAAAAAACACUCAACGUCAACAAAACAAAAGGUGAUGAUUGUGGACUACAGGAAACAGCAGAGGGAGCAGCCCCCUAUCCACAUCGAUGGGACAGUAGUGGAGAAGGUAGAAAGUUUUAAGUUCCUCGGUGUACACAUCACGGACAAACUGAAUUAGUCCACCCACACAGACAGCGUGGUGAAGGCGCAACAGCGCCUCUUCAACCUCAGGAGGCUGAAGAAAUUUGGCUUGUCACCUAAAACACUCAAACUUUUACAGAUGCACAAUCGAGAGCAUCCUGUCAGGCUGUAUCACCGUCUGGUACGGCAACUGCUCCGCCCACAACCAUAAUGCUCUCAAGAGGGUAGUGCGGUCUGCACAACGCAUCACCGGGGGCAAACUACCUGCUCCCCAGGACACCUACACCACCCAAUGUCACAGGAAGGCCAAAAAGACCAUCAGGGACAACAACCACCCGAGCCACUGCCUGUUCACACCGCUAUCAUCCAGAAGGCGAGGUCAGUACAGGUGCAUCAAAGCUGGGACCGAGAGACUGAAAAACAUCUUCUAUUUCAAGGCCAUCAGACUGUUAAACAGCCAUCACUAACAUCGAGUGGCUGCUGCCAACAAACAGACUCAAAUCUCUUGCCACUUUAAUGCAUACAUCAUAAAUGGAUGUAAUAAAGGUUUCACUAGUCACUUUAAAUAACACCACUAUAAUAAAGUCUACAUAUCCUCGAUUACUCAUCUCAUAUGUAUAUACUGUAUUCUAUACCAUCUACUGCAUCUUGCCUAUGGCGCACGGCCAUCGCUCAUCCAUAUAUUUAUAUGUACAUAUUCUUAUUCAUCCCUUUACAUUUGUGUGUAUAAGGCAGUCGUUGUGAAUUUGUUAGAUAUUACUGCACGGUCGGAACUAGAAGCACAAGCAUUUCGCUACACUCGCAUUAACAUUUGCUAACCAUGUAAAUGUGACAAAUAAAAUUUGAUUUCAUGAAGGCCUGUCUCCUCUGAACAGUUGAUGUUGAUGUGUCUGUUACUUGAACUCUGAAGCAUUUAUUUGGGAUGAAAUUUCUAAGGCUGGUAACUCUAAUGAACUUCUCCUUUGCAGCAGAGGUAAGUCUGGGUCUUCCUUUCCUGUGAGAGUCAGUUUCAUCAUAGCGCUUGAAGAAACGUUCAAAGUUCUAUAAAAUGUUCCGCAUUGAUUGACCUUCAUGUCUUAAAGUAAUGGACUGUCAUUUCUCUUUGCUUAUUUGAGCUGUUCUUGCCAUAACAUGGACUCAGUCUUUUACCAAAUAAGGCUCUCUUCUGUAUACCACCUCUACCUUGUCACAACACAACUGAUUGGCUCAAACACAUUAAGAGGGAAAGAAAUUACACAAAUUAACUUAAGGCACACCUGUUAAUUGAAAUGCAUUCCAGGUGACUACCUCAUGAAGCUGGCUGAGAGAAUGCCAAAAGUGUCCAAAGCUGUCAAGGCAAAGGGUAGCUACUUUGAAGAAUCUCAUGUAUUUGGAUUUGUUUAACACUUUUUUGGAUACUACAUGAUUCCAUAUGUUACUUCAUAGUUUUGAUGUCUUCACUAUUAUUCUACAAUGUAGAAAAUAGGAAGAAUUAAAAAUAAAAAUAAAUAGAAUGAGUAGGUGUCCAAACUUCUGACUGAUACUAAAAUAGAAGAGAGAGAGAUACACACUGCUGUAGAGAGUAGGGAGGGCUUGGGUCAGAGAGUAGGAAGGGCUUGGGUCAGAGAGUAGGAAGGGCUUGGGUCAGAGAGUAGGAAGGGCUUGGGUCAGAGAGUAGGAAGGGCUUGGGUCAGAGAGUAGGAAGGGCUUGGGUCAGAGAGUAGGAAGGGCUUGGGUCAGAGAGUAGGAAGGGCUUGGGUCAGAGAGUAGGAAGGGCUUGGGUCAGAGAGUAGGAAGGGCUUGGGUCAGUGAGAAGGAAGGGCUUGGGUCAGUGAGAAGGAAGGGCUUGGGUCAGUGAGAAGGAAGGGCUUGGGUCAGUGAGAAGGAAGGGCUUGGGUCAGAGAGUAGGAAGGGCUUGGGUCAGAGAGUAGGAAGGGCUUGGGUCAGAGAGUAGGACGGGCUUGGGUCAUUGAGAAGGAAGGGCUUGGGUCAUUGAGAAGGAAGGGCUUGGGUCAGAGAGUAGGAAGGGCUUGGUUCAGAGAUGAACUGGAACAUAAAUUGAGAGGAGAACCAAAUGUUUGAAAUGUGAACCAACUUCUCUCACUGUGGUGGGAUCCCGGUAUUAAAAUGUUUUACAUGAUAAAAAUACUGACUGAACCAUGCGAUUUGUUAUUACGCUUCUGGUUCCACCUAGUGGUCAUGUGAUGUAGUUGCAGUGUUCAGCUCUGAUGACCAGGGCCCUGUUCAAAACUAGUGCACUACAUAGGGUCACAUUUGGGACAUUAUCAUGGUCAAACUGGGCUAAGACAUAAUGAGCAGCACAAUGAAAAAAAUAUACUAAAAAUAAAUCUCUCCACAACCAGUUUUAAAACUCCAUGCCAUCAUCUUUAUUAAGUUUUCAAACAGACUGAAUUGAUGUGAUCAGGGAUGUAAAGACUAAAAAGACAGGUGAACAAAUCACCAGCCCAACAAACCUAUAGUAUAAUAACACAGAAGAGAAAACCUCCAUCGACCGCUCCAUUGUGAAAUUCAUCAGAAACUCUAGAUCCCAGAGGAGGAAAUACCGCAGCCCUUUCUGGCCUAAUGAAAUAAAGAAAGAUUAUGUUCUUUGUUCCUCUGACAUUCUUUAGAGAAGUGAAACAGUUUUGGAUGACUAUCUUGAUGCGUUGAGGUCGUUUUUUUUUCUUUCUUUCGUAUUUUUUCUAAAAAGCAUUUAGUCACAUUAUUUACACAUACAGUAUAUUACAGCGCUUACACUCCUAUUCUCUCAGUAGCUCAGUGUGGUGAAGCAGUGCUCUUGAUGCCCUCCUCCUCUGUGUCUGAUUGGUUACUGCAUGUUAAUUAGGCUCAUCUGAUUGGCUUAAAGUGUGUUCCUGGCGUGUGCUGAUUGGUGAUACUGAGGGAAGGAGGGAGGGGCAUGUGAAAGGGGGACAUUAUGGAGUGUUUCAUUGGCUGAGGGUGGGUGGAUGUAACUGUAGAGGACUAGAAGCAUGGUUUGGGAGGGUAAGGAAGG